AGUUUCUUUCAGGGAUCCUGUGCAUCAUUUACACCCAUCAUCAUGCAACUGGUUAAGAAAAAAUAGCACAUGUCACAAUAUACUGUCCAGACAUUAUAUGUAGAAUUGGAGCAGGAAAUUGCAGCCGUUAACAACCCCUUGUCUAACAAAUUAUAGGCUUUCAAAGGACAUUAAAAUCCUGCACCAUUUUAGCAGGACUGCCUAUAUCACAGCACUCACCUACCUCCUGGCAACAGAAUUACCAAGCUGAACCAUUCCCUUGUGACAUCACAAUGAGAUGUAAGCUUGUGUAUAAAGAAAGAACAGCACAUUUAUUUUUUGAGGGAUAUUCCCUGCAUCAUGUCAUCAACUCAGUGGAUUUCCUAUCUCUCUCCUCCCUACCUGAACAGAAUGUUUUAGGAAGCUGUACACCAGGAAUGAAAACACCUAGAAUGUUCUUUUGCUUACUCUCAAGUCACAAAUCAGUAUUGCAAAGCGCUCCAAAAGGAUUUGCAUCAUCUACUGUAUUACCUUCUCUAGCCAUGACUUUCAUCUAUUGCUCAAGCAGUAGCUCCAAGUCCAGGAUGAUUUUAAGGCACCAGCUUUAACGGAGGGGAAGCAAAAGUGGCCAAACAGCACACGUCCUCCUGGAGGAUUCAUCCUGCGGCGGCAGCAGCUGUUUUGACUUUUACACUGUUGAAUGCUGGAAUUCGGAGCAGAGGAGCCAUCUACUGGAGGAAGAAAAUUACUGCAACAUGGGAAAUUUAAGUGAAAGUGAUAAAAGGAGAGAAAGUAAACAACACCUGGAAGGCUAUUUGACCUUGGCUUUAUCUUAGUAGGCAGUUUGGAUGCUUGGAAAUAUUUAGUGAGCUGUUUGAAGAUCUUUAAGGCAAAUUGAAUUGUAAACACUAAAACUUUAUUGAAACUGUUCAUUGAAAGGUGGAUUUGAAAGACUUUAGGAAACCUGGUGGGCCAAGCUGGAUUUGGUUUACUAACAUCACUUGAUAGAUCAUCCUAUGAGGCAAAAGAAAAAAAAGAGAAAAAGAAGAAAAGACAAACAAGACUUUAAAAUUUGGACAAUUGAAAAGGUGUAAACGGAAAAUUAUAAAGACUGUAAAGUAUAAAUUUAUAGCUUUUAAGGACUAGAAAGCUGAGAGACUUGGAAAUAUAAUUCUGGGAUUGAUUAAAUUUUAUUAAUAAUUGA